rnacentral:rRNA from 1 species
AGGUUAACCGUAUAGGGGAGCCGUAGGGAAACCGAGUCUUAACUGGGCGAAUGAGUUGCAGGGUAUAGACCCGAAACCCGGUGAUCUAUCCAUGGGCAGGUUGAAGGUUGGGUAACACUAACUGGAGGACCGAACCGACUAAUGUUGAAAAAUUAGCGGAUGACUUGUGGAUGGGGGUGAAAGGCCAAUCAAACCGGGAGAUAGCUGGUUCUCCCCGAAAGCUAUUUAGGUAGCGCCUCGUGAACUCAUCUUCGGGGGUAGAGCACUGUUUCGACUAGGGGGUCAUCCCGACUUACCAACUCGAUGCAAACUGCGAAUACCGAAGAAUGUUAUCACGGGAGACACACGGCGGGUGCUAACGUCCGUCGUGAAGAGGGAAACAACCCAGACCGCCAGCUAAGGUCCCAAAGUCAUGGUUAAGUGGGAAACGAAGUGGGAAGGCUCAGACAGCCAGGAUGUUGGCUUAGAAGCAGCCAUCAUUUAAAGAAAGCGUAAUAGCUCACUGGUCGAGUCGGCCCGCGCGGAAGAUGUAACGGGGCUAAACCAUGCACCGAAGCUGCGGCAGCGACACA